rnacentral:tRNA from 1 species
AGGGGCGUAGUUAAGUGGUAUAACAGGGGUCUCCAAAACCCCUAUCGGGGGUCCGAUUCCCUCCGCCCCUGCAA